UACGUAGGUGGCUAGCGUUGUCCGGAUUUACUGGGCGUAAAGAGCGCGCAGGCGGUCGUUCAAGUCGAGUGUGAAAGCCCCCGGCUCAACUGGGGAGGGUCACUCGAUACUGAUCGACUCGAAGGCAGGAGAGGGAAGCGGAAUUCCCGGUGUAGUGGUGAAAUGCGUAGAUAUCGGGAGGAACACCAGUGGCGAAGGCGGCUUUCUGGGCCUGACCUGACGCUGAGGAGCGAAAGCGUGGGGAGCGAACAGG
rnacentral:rRNA from 1 species